rnacentral:lncRNA from 1 species
GAUUUGAACUCUGGACCUUUGGAAGAGCAGUCGGGUGCUCUUACCCACUGAGCCAUCUCACCAGCCCCUACAAAUCACUUUUUAAAAAUGAAAACUGAUGGUAAACAAGAACAUUAUCAAGGAGGAGGAGGAGGGAAGAUCUUGACAUAGCAUAGGACAAAAUUGUAAAAACAGAAACAUAACAGGGUACUUUGUGAGAUCACAGAAAAGUCUGGGCAAAGUGUAAGAAGUUCAGAAUUCCUUCCGAGAUAAAGGACUGGCACCUGCUGAGGUCAGCUCGGUCUUUGAAAGUUUCAUUAUAGGACUGGAGAUACGUCUUAGUAGCAAGAGUGUUUGCCUAGGUAAGUUCAAGGUUCAAUCCCCAAUACUGAGUAGAGACAACCUUUCUAUAUGGCUUGGUGUGGUGGCGCUCACCAACAACUCCAGUACCCGUAAGGUAAAGGCAGAAAUAUGUAGGGGCCAACCUGGCUGACACACUGAAGCCCUAAAUCAAAGGAGACCUCUCCCCACUGUCUGUAAAUCUUGCUCCAACCAAGAGAUCAGAUUGGGUUUGAUGACUUCACAUCCUACAUAUAAGGAAACAAUGUAUUCAUGGAAGUGGUUCAUUCUGUAGGGAAAAAAAAGGAACAAUAAAUUUAGGACCCCCUUCUCCCUUUGUGUAUUUAUGUGUACAUAAUGUGUAUGUUGGUGUAUGUGUGCAUGUGGACAUGCGUCAGGUGCCUUCCUUGAUAACUCUCCACCUUUUAUACUGAGGCAGGGUUUAUUGCUGGACACGGAGCUCAUCACUGCAGCCACUGCAGCCGUCUACUGCAGCCCAGCUCUUGUGUCUCUGUCCUCUGAGUGCUUGGGAUUAUAAGCAGCCACUACGCCUGCCCACUUUUCACCUGAGUUUUGAGGAUCCAAACUACAAUUUUCAUGAUGGUAGAGGCAAGUGCUUUAUCACUGAGCCAUUUCCCUACCUCUGGUGUGUCCGAAGACAGCUACAGUUUACUCAUAUACAAUCAAUCAAUCAAUCAAUCUUUAAAAAACAAAACAAAAUUGGAGUUUAAAUCUUCAGACUCUAUGUAAAGCCAGGCACAGUAAUAUUCACAUACUCACAAAUUAUAGAAGUCACCUCAUACCCACAAUAUUCAUUUCUAAAGGUUAAGAAAUUCACCAUCAAGUGGAAACCAAAAACACUAUACAGAAAAUUCCAGAAAUAAUUUCUACGAUUUAUUUAUUUUUUUUAAAUGUAUUUAUUGUUCUUUGUGAGUUCAAGGCCAGACUCAUCUGCAUAGCAAGUUGCAGGCCAGCCAAGGCUACAUAGUAAGCCUCCAUCUCAAAAAGACCAAAAAACCCAAAAGAAGAAAACCAAAACAAACAAUAAAUGGGACCAAUAAGAUAGUUCAGCUCAGCUGAUAAAACCAAGCCUGAUGAGUUGAGCUUGACCCACUCAUACACUCCCCAUAUGGUAAGAGAGAACCAAUACUUGUAAGUUGUUCUCUGACCUCUACAAGUGUGUCAUGUGUCUGCACAUGUACACACAAUCACACAAAAAAUAAAAUUAUGAUAAAUAUGUAUAAAUUACUGAGAUCUGAAGUAUGGCUAGUCAGGAAUUAGUAUGUAGGUAUAGAUAUGAUUCUUAAAAUUUAUUUUAAAAAGUGUAUCGUUAUUUUUUAAAUUCAUUUAAAAAUUUUCUACUGUGUGUGUGUGUGUACCAUUUGCGCAGGUAUUUUCAGGGUUCAGAAGAGGUCCUUGGAUACCAAGCAGAGAUUUAGUUGGUUGUGAGCCUCCAUGUGCAUACUAGGAACUGACUUCGGGCCCUCUGGAAGAGCAGCAAGCUCUCUUACACAUCAGCUAUCUCUUCUGCCCUCUCAUUACUUAUUUUUAUUGUCUAUAUUUAUUAGUAUUUUGCAUGUAAUGAGUUCAAUUAAAAUGUAGUAAAAAUUAACAAAAACAUUUGCCUAAAAAUUGAAGAGGUCCUCUUGAAUCACUUAAGCACAUAUAUGUACAUACAGCCAAUAUAAAUAAAAAUAUACAUAAAAUAUGUAUCUAUAGUUUUUUAAUUUUGUUGCCAACGCUUGGAGGAGGAAUCCAGGGCUCAGCAGAGGCAGAGUACACAUCCCCACUCCUGAGCCUAAUCUCUCCUCCCAGCGCUCACCCGUGCAGGUGGCAGGUGCCAGGUCCAUGAUGUGGAAGAACACUCGGCACACCCUUUAACGUGUAUCCAACGGCGAAAAUAUCAUUUCUUUGUGAUUUAAAAAAAUAAGAAGAAAGGAAAAUGGUAAAGGUUUGGAGCCUUUGCAGACAAAACAAUUGCUGACGUGCGGCAAAGACCGGACUUUUACGACAGUUUUACGACGCUCCCGACCUCGCUCUUCGCUCAGACUGGGCCAGGCGAGCUGCGACGCUGGCGAACCGGGCUCCCUGCGUCCUCCCACGACUCCGUCCACCUCAGGGCCUCUAUGAAGAGGAAUCGGUGCCACCCGUGCGGACCUCACAGCCGGAACCGUAAAGAUUCGGAGUCGCUUGCUCGCGGAGACUGACAGCCAGAAAGCGGGCCACGCUGACGCUACUUCCUGUUUUGCUUCCUGGGCGUCAGGGCGGACCUCCAUUUGUCAGGCUGCUCUGCGCCUCCCCUAAGAAGUCCGAGGCAUUGUAGUUUAGUCAUUCGCCAUAGGUCAAGAUCGCCUCCGUUAGGGAAGGCGAGGCCGAAGACCGCCUCAAGGAAACGGCCGUUAGGACACGGCCUGUGGCAGGGAUUCGCGUGGGACGGAGCUCAAGGGUAGAUGAGGCAGGUGAAGGGACCAGCGUGGAGUGGGCGUGCAGGGUACCACGCUGACAAAUGCCUCUCAAAGGCCUUUGCAUGCUGUUGAGACGGACGGCACAGACUGCCCUAGAACCUAACCCCGUACCCGAGAAAAACCUUGAUCAUCUGAUUCUCUUGCCUCCACAUUGCAAGUGUUGGGAUUCUACGCAAGCCAGCCACUACAUCGAAUUGAACAAAUCGAAGUCCCUAAAAUCACAGUUCUGUUGAUAAAUCUGGCAAUUCAUGAAAUGAUCCUCAUACACCCAGUCCAAUGUGUAGAUUACUUCUUACUUGAAUGCCCUAAGAAACUAGUUUGGUUUUCUUUACAUUUUCCUCUGUGUGUGUGUGUGUGUGUGUGUGUGGUGGAUCGGCAAGUGUUGUACCACUGAGUAUGUCCCCAGCCUUUUAUAUUUUCAACUACACACAAUUUUACUAUUUUAUUGUAUAAUUUUGUUUGGGGGUUUUGAGACACGAUCUCACAAUACAGUCUAGGCUGGCCUUAAAUUGCAUAUUUUCCUGAUUACAGGCCUGAGCAAAUUGUAUAGAAUUGUAAAAAUUUGUAGGUGUGAAGACAUGACCUCAGGGUUUUGUGGGUCCUAGACAAAC